GACAUUUGGGCAAUGUCCAGUUAAAGAAGCAGGGACUGGUUAGGUUUUGACUACCUGACUGAGGACAUAUAAGAAAAGUGAGGACCCUUAGACCCCUUUUAAGGUCUGUUUGUUGAAAUGGAGGGGGGAAAAAAUCUAUCAGCAUGUUGAAGCCAACUUGGUUGUGAGCAGCUAUAAAUCUAUACAAGCUACUGUGAGUACUACCUGUGUCUGUGCAAAUAAAUCAAAUUUAAAAUAGCUUUUUUUAAAGACAUAUGACACACAGCAGCUAACAGCUUUAAAAAUAUUAAAAGUACUAAAACCACUGAUUUUGAAUGCUCUCAAACCCUGACUCGUACCUCAGGAGGUAGAGCAGAAGGUCAGCGGUUCACUCGGCAGCGCUUCUGGUGUAUAUUUCACUGUCCUUGAUACAGAAAGAUGAAAAGGUACAGAAUCCCAAAUUGCCCUUGAUGAAUAUGUAAUAAAGUGCUUAAAUGCAUAGAAUAAAGCUCUAUGAAUGUUUCUGUUUAAAAGGGCAUUGAGUUUUCAUUACGUCUAAAAAAGCACUAUAUAAGUGCCCAUUCAUUUAGCAUUUAGCAUGUAUUUACAAUUGCAAGCAAUCAUUCAUUUCUCCACUUCUCCAUCCCCCCUUCUGUCUCCAUGAUAUGUCAUAUUUGUAAUGCUGUGGUAGAUGGAGGACCAAAAAGCUGGAUCUGCAGGCAAGGGAAAUCAACAAAACAUGAACAUGAAUCUUCAGCCAAGGUUCCAAAGAGUCCUAGUUAAACAUCACAGUAUUACAAAAAUGGACAAAAAGUACUUGGAAGGUGAGAUGGAAACAUGAAGAACAAGCCACUGACCCAACAAACGAUAAGGGACGAUAAGACUAUAAACACUGUGGGCUGAUUACAGAAUGAGACACAGGUGGGAACACCACACAGGUGGAGAAAAUCAGCAUACACAAGGGUGUGGUAGAUGAUCAGACAGGAGGGAAAAGAUUAAAAGCAGAAGGUAAAACCAGAUACACAAGAAAACUAAGCAAAUUAAAACAGGAAGUAACUAAAAAACUGAGCUAAUGCUAAAAAAUUAAUCCUCCGAAACACGAAAACUAACACUAAACAUGAUGACAUAUAGAGAGAGGGAAUAUAGAAGGUGUGGGACACUGAGAAACUAGAAACGAAAGUGGCACAAUGACAGUUCAGCACUAAUGAGGCAGGUGACAGUGUGGGUCUGAGCGAUGGAACAGAGUGUCAGCAGGCCUACAGUCUACCGCCUGGCUCUGCAUGACAACAUGGUGGGAAGGACACUGGUGAACGGAACAAAGGAAGGAGGGAAGAAGGGACAAUGGAUGGAAGAAGAAAGGGAUCCAUGUUGCCUGUAAAGGAUGCCGAAAAUAGAGUUUGACCAGUAUGGGCUUCUGAAGGCCAGUAUCAAUAGUUUUGGACUGAACAUGCUCCUGCUGGCAUCUGGCAUAUUUGCAUUUGACUUGUUUCAUGCCAAAGAAUUUCAAAAAAAAAAAUCCGUGAAGGGUGCUGGUUGGUUCAGAGCCCUGUAUGGGACAAGCUGGAAAAUAUUAUGAAUGAGAGAAAACUAAAAACUAUCUACUUAAAGUUAAGUUUGGGGUUCUGCCACAAAACUUGGAAAACUAACUUCUUAGUUUUUUGUUUCUUUUUAGAAAACAUGUAUAUGAUCACAAUACUUUAAAAAAUUUAACCAUAGCAGAUGCAGACUUUGUUUUUGUUUCCUUGAUCUUAAAUAAUUAGAUAAAUUAGGGGGAAAAAACAUAAAUUAACAAUACUUUGCAUUCCUGUCAAAUGUUCACUUGUUACCAUCUUUUCUCUUAAGACUGUUAUUUAUAACUAAUUUAUACUUAUACAGUCAUCCCUUCAAGGUAAUCUUCCUGUGCAUCUCUUGUCUCCUUCCAGCAGGGCUCCUAUUCUUCAAGCACUCCAUGUAGGCUAGUUCUGUCCCUUUUUUACUUUUGUCUCUGGGAUUUUCUUUGGAUCGCCUUCAAUUUAUCAGAACAGCAGCUUCUGUUAAUCUUUUUGGAAGUAGAAAAAUCACAAGGAGACAAAUCUAGUGGGUGGUGACCAAAGUUUGUGUUAGUGGACUGAAAAUACAGAAAUGUUCUCUGCAAUUUUUAGAGGGAUUAAUUCAUGAAGAGCAGACCUUUAGAUUUGGACACUCUGAACCAUUAUCCUUGACACAAGUCCAACUCCUCUUACUGUCAUUGUUAUACGAGCGCCGAAGUCCUCCAAUAGGAUGACGGAUUCACCCGAUGGUGCACCAUCCAGCACCCCCUACCUAGUGAUUCCAAGGAGGCUGGGUAAUCUGGGUACUCGGCAAUUAGUGGUCAUGUCCUCCUUCACUUCAUCAGACUGAUGAUGUCUUCCACCAGAGAUGAAUUAAUGUUCACCUUCCCUGACUGGCCCUUUGCCUUGGCUUUGGCCUUUUUGGUGGCGUAGAGCCUGAUGCAUACAGCCUCAAUUGCCGAGCAUUAGUACAAACAACUAUAAAGAACAGUCCUCUGACCCGAAUCACAGGGAAAUAACUCCCUCACAUACUGGUUAAAAAUGCUAGCGUACAGGUAGCACAGUGUUCCAGAGCCCAAUCUGCUACAUCUACUCACUAUCGUCUCAACCUAACACACUCAGGCUCCUUCUCCAAGAGAGGUGUAGUUCCCUGUCCCAGUAGCCAGCUUCGAUAAUCAGGGUUCCAACUGCCAGGGCCUCCGCCCUCUGCACACAUCUGAGCUUGGGGUAGUGACUGAAGGAUUGAGAUUGUAGACAGGGCUCUAGAGUGCGACCAAUUUGGUCGCAUUUGCGACCAAA